GCUGGGCAUGGUGGCACAUGCCUGUAAUCCCAGCAGCUCAGGAGGCCGAGGCAGGAGGAUUGUGAGUUCAAAGCCAGCCACAGCAAUGACGAGGCACUAAGCAACUCAGUGAGCCCCUGUCUCUA
rnacentral:sRNA from 1 species